rnacentral:rRNA from 1 species
UACGAAGGGUGCAAGCGUUACUCGGAAUUACUGGGCGUAAAGCGUGCGUAGGCGGUUUGUUAAGUCCGCUGUGAAAGCCCCGGGCUCAACCCGGGAACUGCAUCCGAAACCAUCUCGCUAGAGUAUGGGAGAGGGAAGCGGAAUUCCUGGUGUAGAGGUGAAAUUCGUAGAUAUCAGGAGGAACACCUGCGGCGAAGGCGGCUUCCUGGCCCAUUACUGACGUUCAGGUACGAAAGCGUGGGUAGCAAACAGG